GACGAACGCUGGCGGCGUGCUUAACACAUGCAAGUCGAACGGAAAGGCCCUGCUUUUGUGGGGUGCUCGAGUGGCGAACGGGUGAGUAACACGUGAGUAACCUGCCCUUGACUUUGGGAUAACUUCAGGAAACUGGGGCUAAUACCGGCUAGGAGCUCCUGCUGCAUGGUGGGGGUUGGAAAGUUUCGGCGGUUGGGGAUGGACUCGCGGCUUAUCAGCUUGUUGGUGGGGUAGUGGCUUACCAAGGCUUUGACGGGUAGCCGGCCUGAGAGGGUGACCGGCCACAUUGGGACUGAGAUACGGCCCAGACUCCUACGGGAGGCAGCAGUGGGGAAUAUUGCACAAUGGGCGGAAGCCUGAUGCAGCAACGCCGCGUGCGGGAUGACGGCCUUCGGGUUGUAAUCCGCUUUCGCCUGUGACGAAGCGUGAGUGACGGUAAUGGGUAAAGAAGCACCGGCUAACUACGUG
rnacentral:rRNA from 1 species